rnacentral:lncRNA from 1 species
GGUGUGAGCCACCGUGCCCGGCCUAUGCACUCUUAAAUACAGUUUUUAAAUGUGUGUGUGCAUCCAUGUCUUAGAAUUCAUAGUGUAUAUCAAGAGGAAAAUGGAUUAAUUUCUCAAAAAAGUAAAAUUUCAUAAAUAUGUCUACUGUGCAAAUUAGCAGCAUAUUCCUUAGUGUCUUCCCUAAGUUUCCUCACUGAGUUUCUGUGUCAUAUUGCUUCUCCUCCUGGUGUACUCUUUUCCCACUCCUUUGCCCCAACCACAUACACACUAGGUUUUAGAGCAGCAGCUUCUAGCCCAUUUUCACAGUCUCUGGUCCUGGCAGAACACCUGUUGAAUCUUUGGUCUUUAUAUCACAACCUUUCGUUCAUUCAUCUAAUCCAAAGAAUAUUUUAUAUGCCAGACAUUUUGCUAGAUAGCGAAGAUGUGUCAUAAAUAAAAGAGAAGAGCCCUGUUCAACCUCUCCACCCAAUUGUGGGAGAAAUUGACAUUAAAUAAAUAAUAGCUGAUUAUUUUGUUAAAAUUAUAAUAGUGUUACAUAGGAGAAGUCACUGUGUCUCAGGAGUGUAGAACGGGGAAACUAAUUAGUCAGUGAUUGUGUGAGAGGAGUGUUAGGGAAGACCCCUCAGAGGAAAUGAUAUUUUCUUAGACUUUAAAAGAGGAUGAAGAGUUGUCUAGUUGAAGAUAAAGUGGGGUGAUGCCUAAUAUAUUGCUCAAUAAAUAUUUUUUUAAUGGAUUUGUAAACAAAACUUCCAGAAAGAAUUAUGGGUAUUGAUUAUAUGCUAAUCAUAGUAGUCAGCAUGUAUAAGAAGGUAAAAACUACAUAUAUUUUAGGACCAGGCAGCUCUUAUUCAUUCUGGCAGUGACAUGGAAGUGAGAAAGGCCAGCUGACCUAAAGAGAUCAAACUUUUGACCUUGCCCUCUUUAAUCCAGGACCCUAAACCACUGUGGUAACUAGACAAUUGUGAUAUAUGAAUACUUUGAAAACCUUAAAAAUGAAGAACAUUGAGUCUUUCAUGAAAAUACUCCUGAUCACAGUGUUUGCAUUACAAACUGAAAUCCAGUGGAAUAAACCCUGGUGGGCCUAUGUGGUAAAACUAUCAUAUUUUUCCUAAUGACUGUGCAAACUCAUUAUAAAAUCAUAAUUUUGAGGUUUCAUACCCAUCAUGAGUCAAGAUAGGUUAGUUUUGGCAAAAUACAUCUUCUUGGCUUUAGAGACUGUGAUCCAUCUUUGUGGCAUCAAAGAAGGGCAGCAUAAGUGUUGACUGGAAUCCCAAACUUUUCACCUCCCUUUGAUGCCAAGCCAAGCCUAAGCUUUCAUCAAAAGUACAUAAAUUCUUUUAUAUGGUGUAAUUAGGAGUUUGUAGCAUAAUUUGCAACAGAGGUUGCUUUACUUGCAUGCUUUUUCCCUUCCUGGAUCUUUUUCCCUGACCUGAGAGAAUGAAAAUAAAUCUCACAUCAUCUUCACCAAUUUUCUCUUCAUCCCACCUGGAUGUGCUUCCUCUUAGGUUACCAACUGCCCAACAGAUACGUCAACUGCAAGAUGUUCUAUCAAGCAAUUCACUACUUCCUCCCUUCUCAAUCUUCAGGCUCUGCAUAUGGAAAUGAACAUUUCAUUAUGACCCUAUGACCUACAAAGCUCCCUCUCUGUCACUCCUUAUCAUCUUUCCUAGGGAGGCAAUCAAAAUGAAAUGAUUUUAAGAUUCUAGCACUCCCAACUCUAAGGUAAAUAGCAUCUGACAUCUUCAUUAAGUCCAUAUUCAGUUUUUAGGUCUUCUGGUUGAAAGAAGAAUAAUCUAGAAGGACAAUUAAUAUUUAAAAAAGUCUUUCCCCUAUAACUUAAUAUUGUAGGUGGUAGUACUUUUUAGGACAGCACAGACUUGGUUUGGAAAUCUCAAAAUAACAAAAGGUGGUUUAAUUUUCUUACCCCUAUGUCAAGUUUUACCUGUUUUUUGUUUGUUUGUUUUAAUUCUCUAAGUGGGGAUAGAACAUUUUGUGGUAUGAAAAACUAUGAAAGAUCUUACCUCUGAAAAAAACUCCAUUUGAAUGAACCCUAAUUUAAUGGACAGGUGAAAGGUCAGCAACCUAGAAAAUUGGAGUGUAGUCACAGAAUUUACAACACCUUCUAACAUUUCUGGGCCUAAAUUUCACGUGUAUCUAAAGUAGAAAGAAUGGUCCCCAGCCCUUUCCAGAGUUUUAAUGAAAGAGUCUAUUGCUUUAAAUUAAAGACACAUCUGCUAGGUUCCUUUAACAGCAUCAGAGUUGAUGUUCAAACAUAUUAUUUCAAAAUUAUUUUGCGAAAUGUUGAGGUUAUCUGUCUUUAAAGUGCUGUUGCAAAAGUAUAUUGUUGAAUUUGUAACUCACAGCUAGAAAGCGAUAUAAAUCUUACAAGUUGCACUGAGAUCUUUCUAGAUGAAAAUGAUGCAGCAAUCAUGAACUCCUGUGUUAUCUGUCACUAUCUCAUAAGUCACAUGAUUUGAAGAGAAGAUCAUUCGGAGCAGUGGAAAAAUGAAAUCAAACAUAGCUGCUACCUCAGAUUGAAGAGAUGUCCUCUCCGAUUCUUUAAAGUAUUUCCUAUUCUCCUACCCACCUCCUCUGUUGUUUGCAAGACUCAAAAAGAUAAAUUUAUAGUGAAAUAAGAAUCCUCCAACUUACAUAUUAGAGCUUCUGCAAUUAAAGAAAAACAGAAAUCAGGCUGGGCGCAGUGGCUCACGCCUGUAAUCCCAGCACUCUGGGAGGCCAAGGUGGGUGGAUCACCUGAGGUCAGGAGCUUGAGACCAGCCUGGCCAACAUGGCAAAACCCCAUCUUUACUAAAAAUACAAAAAUCAGCUGGGUGUGGUGGUGGGUGGCUGUAAUCCCAGCUAUUCAGGAGGCUGAGUCAGGAGAAUCCCUUGAACCCAGGAGGCAGAUGUUGCAGUGAGCCGAGAUGGCACCACUGCACUCCAGCCUGAGUGACAGAGUGAUACUCUGUCUCAAAAAGAAAAAAAGAAAAAGAGAAAUCUAUGGGUGAAGACAAAUGGAAUGGCAAUACCUUGGAGUAGCAUUUACUAAUUCAAGCCAUAUAAACCAUACUAAGGUUGUCAGCCCAGAGGGGAGUCCAUCUGCUAUGUAGAUGAGAGAAUGCGACCAGGAAAGUCAGGACACAAAGCCAUGAUUCUUUCAACUUUUUGGCACUUUAAUAAGUGAAUUGCAUGUCCUGUCUUCUCCAUGAACUCAGCAAAGCUACAACUAAGCUCCUCAUCUUGAGAGUUCACCAUGUGCCCACUUUGACCUAUGGAUGGGCCCCUUGGCACUCUACCUUUUCAGUGUCCUCAACUGCACAAACUUCCUGGGCUGCACUGACUGCUGUACCCAGGCAAUUUUUUGGGAGCUCCAAUGUCUUGUCUAGCACAUGACAUGAGGCUGUAGCAUGUUCUUUCAAGUAUUAGUGCUAAAGAGGUCCCAUUCUACUUUCUCUGACUGAUCAGGUCACUGUUUUCAGCUACCUGGCCCUUCUAAGUCAGGGUCACUAGAGUAUUGGGAGGUUUGUAACUUCUUCAUUGGUGUCUUGUGUUUUCCUGUCUUUGAACUUGAGGAAAGCUGGCCCUGGAUGUUCACAACAUCAACCAAGCAAUGAAAACCACAGCACCCUACAGGAAAUUCUGCAUUUCUCUCAAAACAUGCAAAACACAAAAUUGGGUGGAACCACAGAAGGUUAUGGAUAACUCACUACAGUUUGGACUUUCAAAGGCCCUGGGAAAACUAUCCUACUUUUGUGAGAUACUAUUGUUCUACCUGUAAUGCAAGUGAACAGAUCUUAAUAAGGACAAAUAACAAUUUUUUAAAUGUUUACCAUAUUUUCUCAUUUGUUCCUUUCAUCAAGCAUCCAACCUGCCAGGUAAUUAUUAUUAUCUGCUUGCUUCAAAUAAGGAAAGUAAACCUCAGAGAAAUUAAGCAAUUUUUUCAUGGUCAGUCAUCCAGUGAAUAGCCUUUCAACUCUUUCCUAACCCUCUCCAGUUUGUCAGCUUAGCUGUGGGAGCUCAGACAGGGCACACUCUCUCUGAGCUCAGCUGAAUCACAUAUAAAAUACAUGUAAUAUCUUUCCUAUCUCAUAUGGUUGCAAAACUUUAAAAGAGCUAAUAUGUGAUAGUGCUUUUCAAGGCAAAAAUCAAGCCAUAUUAUACUGGUACCAGGUGAUGAAUUAUUUUUACUGGACUUUGUGCUUGAUUUUUCUACCCUGGGCUUUGCUAAUCAGAAGGUCAGAAUCAAUCAUUAUACAACUAUGGAUCAAAAGCAAGGCAUGGGCAAUUGAAAAGACCACAAGUUAGAACAAUGCUUCUCAAAAUAUCUGGGAUUAAAAACCAGCUAGUUCUUUUAAAUUCCCAGUUCCUCAUGGAUGAAUACACAAAAUAUAAACACCUCUUUUUUUGUCAUUAGCUUUAAGGGAUUUAAAAUUAUUGCAUUCUAAAUGCAAUUCUCAAUUUCGGUAUGAAUCUUGUCAUGAACUGAUAAGAAACAGUUGUCAGUAGUCUGUGAACACACUUUCAACACUACUGGGUUAGGAUAUCCUCAAAUUGGUUGAAGUUUGAAUUUUCAAAAUUCUUUACAGAGUUGUCCUUGAACCUACAAAUAUGAACCAAAAAUCAGCCCCCAAAAAAAGAGAAUGGGAGAAGAAAAAAGGUUCUUCACACUCUAUAUCAGGUUCCCUAGUCUAGAGAAAUAUAAAGGGGAAAUUUUGUCCAAAAGCAGUCAUUUCAUGAUUUAUGUAAUAGAGAUGCUCCAACCAAGGACACCAUAAAACCAAUUUGUGUAAAGCAGGUUUUAUGUAUAUCCAUCAGAAAACUCCUCUAAAUGCUUCAACUAAAAUUGAGAGGUAGUUGAAGGAUUUUGCUUUCUCCUCUAUAGAGUGAGAGGUUAUAUUAAUAUUCCUUCUAAUAUUUUGUGCUUUUGCAUUGGAAGCUAACUCAGUGCCUGGGUAUUAGAACAAACCAGCAGAAUUUCUCUGGUAGGAACUUUCUGCCCAGAGACCUCUGUUCUAUUGCUUUUCCCUUGCUGUUACUCACAACCGCGUGUAACAAUCUCAUACCUUAGUUCUCUUCUUUUUUCCUGAUAUUUAGAAUGCCUAGUAGAGCCGCAAAUGGCAUGUCAUAUUUUGUCAGGAGAUGGCAUUGACUAAUGUGUGCAGAAAACACCCCUGAGUUAGAUACUUUGAGUCAUGUACGAUGACCAGUUCAGUAUUUAACACUUGACAAAGCUCAAAGCUGUUUACAUGAAAUGUAUAUUUUUGGCUUCUGGUAGUCUAUGCUGCUAUUACGGAAGGUUAUAGUUAGCAGGUUUAAGAAAUAUUUUUUUGGGCUUUCUAGAAUGAAUAAUUUGAAUGGUACCAGCAGCAAUUCUUUGUGAGCUGAAGGCUUGAUGCAGUCUCUUAGGACCUGUCCUUUUAGAAGUAAGAGCGGGUUCUUAGAGGCCACAUCCUGCCUUUCAGAUAGAGAUAUCAGCUUCUACCAGGAAUAGUUCCUUUCAUACUACACUUAAGUAGGCAGUGAGAAUAAUCAGCACGAUUGAAACUACCUUUGCAAAAUUAUGACUGAGACAGCGAAAGAGAUCUAACUUAACUGACUCCAUCUUGCUUCUAACCUCCAUGCUGUCUUUUUCAUUCCUGGGCGUAGGACGAACUAACUUUGAGAGAAAUUUAGUUUAUAGUUUAAAAAAAAAGAUGGUAACAGCCCUUUCCCAAAGCAGACCUCCUUCUUGCCUGGGGACUAGACCAAUAUUAGCCAGAAGGUUAGAAAUUACGGUUUAGGAGUCAUGCAGCUGGAGGCUAUAAGAAUCUGACUCCCUAAACUGCUCCUAAGAUCAGUGCUUGAGAUACUUUGCAGACCCUGCACUUGAUGGAUCAGCUGGCACCACCCAAAUCAAUAAACCGGCUCAUCUGAUCUUGUGGCACCCACCCAAGAACUGACUCAGCACAAGGAGACAGCUUCGACUCCCUGUGAUUUCAUCCCUGUCAACCAGCACUCCUGGCUCACUGGCUUCCCCCCACCCAACCAAGUUAUCCUUAAAAACUCUGCUCCCUGAAUGCUCAGGGAGUUUGAUUUGAAUAAUAAUAAAACUCCAGUCUCCUGCACAGCCGGCUCUAUAAAUUACUCUUUCUCUAUUGCAAUUCCCCUGUCUUGAUGAAUCGGCUCUGUCUAGGCACCGGGCAAGGUGAACCCCUUGGGUGGUUACACUAGCAUUGGUUUUUGUUUGCCACUGCAGCAUUAAUUAUGUGUUUUUUAUGGCAAUAGAAAUUUUUUUUUACUGCCUUUCCUCAAUGUUACAUGAAGACAUAUUUCACAAGUAGGCCAAGUACAAAGUAGGAAUAGAAGCUAGAAUGGAAUCAUAGACCAGAUUCUUACAUAGAUCACAUCAGCCAGGCUGAGGCUCCAUCUGUGUGCAUGGCACGGCACAGCUGCGUUGGUUGCUUAUAGCUAGCAUCUGUUCUGAUUGGUUGGUGCCUGUGGCUUUUCAGUUGCUCAGAGUUUUGAAUACCAACCCUGGGUACACAGUUAUCUCUGAAAGCUAAAAUGGUGAAAUAUAACACAUAAUGAAUGCAAUGAGCCAGCUCUAGACACAACCAAGAGAAUUCCCGUAACUGGGAACCUGAGAAAGUAUAAAAGCACUUAAUUGAAGGUGUAAAUGAGAGAAAGCAGGUUUGAAAUGCAACCAAAACAAAGCCCACACAUAGACAACUGUAUUUAUAAGUUGUUUCUAAAUGGGAAUGGAACGGUGUUUUUCCGGGAAUCUAGGGAACAGUCUCUCUACGGCGACUUUUCUCAUGUGAGAAAACAGACAUUUAGCAGAAAACCAGAAAAUGUUCAUUGGCUUCGGUGAACUUUUAUUCCAAGUUUCAAUGAGGGACCCUGUGCAGAGGCUUGGGACACGGAGACCUCCCUCUGCUGCCUUUAAGGAAGGUCAUUAAAAAAAAAAAAAUUCCGUUUUUUUUUUUUUUUUAAAGACGGAGUCUCGUUCUGUCGCCAGGCUGGAGUGCAGUGGCCUGAUCUCGGCUCACUGCAACCUACGCCUCCCAGGUUCAAGAGACUCUCCUGCCCCAGCCUCCUGAGUACCUGGGACCACAGGCGCCCGCCACCACGCACAGCUAAUUUUUGUAUUUUUAGUAGAGAUGGGGUUUGAGCAUGCUGGCCAGGAUGGCCCCGAUCUCUUGACCUCGUGAUCCGCCCGCCCCAGCCUCCCAAAGUGCUGGGAUUAUAGGCGUGAGCCACCGCCCUUCUAACUUUUCUAUUGUACCACACUGAUGGCAAGGAAGGGCGGUAGGAAAGCCUGCCAAGGAAAGGGAGGACCGGCCUGCAUAUUCUUAAGCGCUGUGGGACACUGUUCUGUAGACGUUGCCCAUCCCAUUGCUCUCUCAGGGAGGGAUGAGCCACGGCCAGGAGCAGCUCCUGGUCAUCUACUGUACCACGUGUGCAGAGGGAAGACACACUCCCAGAGAAGAAAAUGCUGGGAAAAAGAGACCACAGCCUUUGUAUGGUGGCUCAAUGUAAGUACUUCUUGACAUGUCCAGUUGUACAGCUCCUCUUUGGGGUUGGAGCGCUUUGCUUUCCAGGGUGUAGAUUGGGGUCUGGGGAAGUGGUGAAGUGGAGUGAAACUGGAGGCCUGGAGCUCCCCCUAGAGGCCAAAUGUAUUUUACCCUGACUCAAGAAAACCUGGAGCUGGAAGCUUGGCUCAUCAAACCUAAAGUAAGAGUAAGAAUCAGCAGUAUUGUCGGCACUACCCCGGGAAGGGAGAGAUACUAAACCUAGUGAACAGUGCAGGUCCGGAAUCCUUUAUGUGAAGUUCUAAAACUCAAAAAACUUUGAAAAUGGAAACUCUUUUGAGACCUAUUUGGCAACAACGUUUACCUGCAAUAUGAGGACAUAGUCUUUAUUAUCUUAAUGUGAGUAUUUUUAUCUUUUAUGACAGAUAUAUUAAUUAAUGUGUUUAAUCAUGAGAGGCUGCCCAUAUUCCUAGUAGGAACGUUAAAAGGUAGAGUACCCACUAGGGGUGUUUUAAUGUACAGUAUAUGAACUGUUUACUUCUCUCAAAUCUUAAAAAUUCAGAAAUCUGAACUACAUCUGGCCCCAAUCAGCCAAAGGACUAUAGGCCUGGGUAUUAUAAUGCUCACUACUGUGUGGGCCUCAAUCACAGCUCAACCUGUGCCAUGUGACUUUCAACAAGUGACUCACUGGCUAGAAGGCUCAGCUUCUUCUUUAGUAAGAUGGAAAUAUCACUAGUUUAGAUAUUAAAUGAGUUUAUGCACCGUGUUCAGCCCAGGACCUGGCAAAUAGUAAACAUCUAAGAGUGUUAGUGAUUAUUAUCAUACUUUGUUAUUAUUACUUGAUCUGAGAGAGUGCAUACCUCACUUUACUCUGAUUCACAGUCACCAAAGAGUCAUUUGACUACCAGCCACCAGGCCCACUAUUACCAGGAAGGUGGAAUCUUGAAAGACGAACAUGAGCUUUUGGGCCACUGAUGAUCCAUUAUAAAUCAAUAAUUUGAUAUUCUAGAUCCUAUCUCAAUCUCUUGAAUAUCUAGAAAAAUCAAAUCAAACAAAAAUCAGAGAUACUCUUGGUUCUGAGACACACCUAUACACCUAAAACCUUACUGGUUGCAAGCAGGCUUAAGUUACAGACAGCCAGACAGCCAAGAGCAUUUUGAAGGUGGGAAAACUAAGGCAAAGAAAUAGAAUGAUUUUUUUUGACAUGAGCACAAUAAUUGUAUGUGGGUCUUGGCUAAUGGUUUGUGAUUAGUUUACAAUGAUCCAAGAAUCUAGAAUAAGAUUUUCUUUUCUUUUCUUGUCUUGUCUUGUCUUUUCUUGACAUGCAGCCUCACUCUGUUCCCCAGGCUGGAAUGCAUUGGCACUAUCUCGGCUCACUGCAACCUCUGCCUCUUGGGUUCAAGUGAUGCUCCUGCUUCAGCAUCCCUGAGUAGCUGGGACUACAGGCAUGUGCCACCACUCCCAGCUAAAUUUUGUAUUUUUAGUAGAGACAGGGUUUUGCCGUGUUGGCCAGGCUGGUCUCAAACUCCUGACCUCAGGUGAUCUGCCUGCCUUGGCCUCCCAGAGUGCUGGGAUUACAGGUGUGAGCCACUGCACUUGGCCUAGAAUAAAAUUUUCUAAAAUGUUGUACAUAAAAUACUAGUGCUGCAAGAGGUUCUUUGAAUAAAAAAUUUCCCCAAAUUAUUUAAAAAUGAAACCCUUCUUUCAGGGAAUAUUUAUUAACACCCACAGAAUUUGGGUUAGAUAGAGUGUACCUGGGGAAAUACUGUUUUAGAGAGUAUCAACUUCUGUAUAUAAUUCAGGUAGAUAAUUCUUGGCUAUUGGGUAAUUUCAAG